rnacentral:rRNA from 1 species
UUAUGACCAUAUCACGUAGAUACACCGGUUCUCGUACGGUCACCGAAGUUAAGCAAAGUCGAGCCUAGUCAGUACUUAGAUGGGUGACCGCUUGAGAAUAACAGGUGCUGUAA